ACACACACACACACACACACACACACCGGCGUACUGGAACCUCUCUCGCGAUCCCGCACCCAGCUUGAAUUCAGCAAGAAUCGAAAACAGGUGUGCCCCCGUGGGGCGGUUCGAAGAUGGCCGAAUAGGAACAGCUCCAGUCUGCAGCUCCCAGCUUGAGCGACACAGAAGACGGGUGAUUCCUGCAUUUCCAACUGAGAGACUAGAAAAUUAUUGCCAGGCCAAUAAAACAUCCUAUCUUUGGGGGUCCAAUAUUUGGUUGAUUUUGUUUGUUCACCUUUCAAUCACCAGAAUCCCCUUCUUAUCAAUAAUUCCACCACCGCUCAAGAAUUCACAAAAUUAAAACAAAAAUGAUCUCUCUCAUUUACCAUAUUAGCACUACAUAUUUCACAAACAUGAUUUCAUCUUCACUAUCAGGGAGGUAUUACCAAACCCUUUAAUAGAGGAGGGAGCUGAGAAUCAGAGAUGAUCACCAACGUGCCCAAAUUCACACAGCAUAGAAAGUGUGGAGAGAGAGUCAAAUGCAGACCAGCUGUACUCCAGAAUCUACACCCCAGAAUCUACACUCCUAGCCAUCUUGCUCAAUUUUCUCCAAAAAAUGCUGUGAUCCUUUUAGGAGCUUGUGUAUUGAUUAAGAUAAAACAUUUCUCUGUAGUGCAAUAUUUAAGUACGAUGAAGCAAUCCAAAUGCAAAUAAUACAUGCUGUAGUUUUGAAUAAAGACACAAAAUAAGCUACCCCAUAUAACCAAAAUCUCUAAUGACUAGGAUUUGGCUUAUUACAGGACUGCCGAAGCUGAGAGUAACUACCCCUGGUUUCAUUUCCAACUCAUGAAUUUUUCGCCAUCCUUCUCUGCCCGCCUUUCCUUUACUACACAGUGAGCCGCACUCCUGGAACAAGCUUCCCUUGAAGUUCACCCUCUGAGCGCCACGGCCCCUCUCCAGCCUGCAUUCCACUGUAAGGUUGAGAAAUAUCUGAUUGUUAGUGAUGAGAGAGAAAACCUAGCCUCAUUCUCUGGUGGCCUGUCUUGCAAAAGAGAGAUGAAAUCAAACCUGGCUUCCUGAGAUUCCAAAUCACAAACAUCACAUACUAGUUUUUUUUUUUAAUAAAAUCAUGGGGCCAGAUGUGGUAGCUCACACCUGUAAUACCAGCACUUUGGGAGGCUGAGGCAGAACAAUCACUUGAGGCCAGGAGUUCAAGACCAGCCUGGAAAACAAAGGGAAACGCACUUCUACAAAAAAUUUAAAAAUUAGUCACAUGUGGUAGCAUGAACUUGUAGUUCCAGCUACUUGGGAGGCUGGGGCAGGAGGAUCGCUUGAGCCCAGGAGCUGGAGGCUACAAUGAGCCAGGAUUGCACUACUGCACUCCAGCCUGGGUGACAGAGGGAGACCUUGUCUAAAUAAAUAUCAUAGAAAGGUGGGGAACUCACUCAGAGUGUCCCACAUUGUCUUUUUCUUUCUUUUUUUCAAAAUUAAGAGACAGGGACAGCAAGGCGCGGUGACUCACUCCUGUGAUCCCAACACUUUGGGAGGCCGAGGUGGGUGGAUCACCUGAGCUCAGGAGUUCAAGAACAGCCUGGCCAACAUGGUGAGACCCUGUCUCUACUAAAAACACAAAAAUUAGCCAGGCAUGGUGGCACACACCUGUAAUCCCAGCUACUCAGGAGGCUGAGGCAGGAGAAUCGCUCGAACCCCGGAGGCAGAGAUUGCAGUGAGCCAAGAUUGUGCCACUGCGUUCCACCCUGGGAAACAAAGCAAGAUUCCAUCUCCAAAAAAAGAAAAAGAGAGAGAGAGAGAGAGCUAGGGUCUUACUAUAUUGCCCAGGGUGGAAUGCAGUGUCUACUCAGAGGCCCAGUCCCACUACUGAUUCUGCUCAUAUCUGACCUAAGCCAGUUCGCCCCUCCUUAAACAACGUGGUGGACCCCACUCCAGGAGGUCACCAUAUUGAUGCCAAACUUAGUUCAGACACCCAAUUGCUACAGCACACUACAGCUCAGAACUCCUGGGCUCAAGCAAUUGUUUUGCCUCAGCCUCUCAAGUAGCUGAGACCACAGGUGUGCACUAUUGAGCCUCACUUCCCUUAGCAUAUCUUUUUGAACAGCCUUUUCUUUAUAUUGAGAUACCUGAAAAGGGCUCUUUACAAAAUCCACUCGAAUUCCCUUCUCUCCUCUCUGCUGUCCUUUAUUAUUGAUGACAUUUUUGAUAAUUAUCUGAUUAUAGAAAAACUCCAAAAAGCCAGGAAGAAGUGCUGAUUUUUGUUUUGUUUUGAGAUGGAAUCUCACUCUGUCACUCAGGCUGGAGUGCGGUGGUGCAAUCUUGGCUCACUGCAACCUUCGCCUCCCAGGUUCAAGUGAUUCUCCCUGCCUCAGCCUCCCAAGUAGCUGGGAAUACAGGUGUCUGGCACCACACCCAGCUAAUUUUUGUAUUUUUAGUAUAGCUGGGUUUUCACCAUGUUGGCCAGACUGGUCUCGAACUCCUGACCUCAGGUGAUCCACCCGCCUUGGCCUCCCAAAGUGCUGGGAUUACAGGUGUGAGCCACUGCGCCCAUCCAAAGUGCUGUAUUAUUUCACUCAUCACUGCUAUUGGUUUCAGCAUAUGCAUACACAGGUGCCUGUAUUUUUGGCCUGACAUCUAUGCUCCAUUCUCUUUGGAUUUCAGGGAUACAUGACAAUUGUUCUAGUUCUUUUGCUGUAACUGAUGAAUACAAAAUAACCCCGUAGUAGAAUGUACCACCUGGAACAUCAAGAAAGUGAUUUUACAGGAUUUAGCAUUCCAUUUGGGGGCUGCAGAACCUGUCAUCAGAUAAUGGGAUUUGAAUGAUAAAUGAACUGUCUCAUGUCAAUCCCUUUGUGAAAAUUAGAGCUUUUAAAGUCUAGGUUUAGCUUGCUUAAACUGAGAAAUGGCCAGGCAAAUAGUCAUGUCAGUAGAAAUAUAACAUCUAAAAGUCAAGAUCUUUUUCCCUUCCUUUAGUUGUCAUUAUUUGUGAAAUUUCACACCAGAAGACAAUUGUGAUUUUUUUUGAACCAGAAAGAUUGUGAAAAUUAGCUCGUAUUAGACCUGUGAUGAAUCUUCAACUCUAGAAAAGAAAAAGAAAUGUGCUCUAAGAAGAAAUAAGAGGCCGGGUGCAGUGCCUCAAGCCUGUAUUCCCAACACUUUGGGAGGCCAAGGCAGGCGGAUCACUUGAGGUCAGGAGUUCGAGACCAGCCUGGCCAACAUGGCAAAACCCCGUCUCUACCAAAAAUACAAAUAUUAGCUGGGUGUGGUGAUGCAUAACUGUAAUCCCAACUACUCAGGAAGCUGAGGCAGGAGAAUCGCUUGAACCUGGGAGGCAGAGGUUUCAGUGAGCCGAGAUCGUGCCACUGCACUCCAGCCUGGGAGACAGAGCAAGACUCUGCCUUAAAAAUAAAUAAAUUAAAAGAAGAGAUUUAUAGGUAAACAAAAACAUGCAUUUUCUCUCUGUACUAUGUGCAUUCUUCCCCAAUCUUCCCUAAAGAAAAUAUCCCCUAGGAAGAAAGGUCUGAAACCUUGGAAAUUAUUUUUACUAGUCUUAGAAAUAUGUAUAACAAAUAUGCAAAAACAUGAACAAGCAAAGUAAUCCAAGCUAUUGAAAACCUAAUAAGAUCAGCUUACUCAUAUGCCUCCAAGACAGAAUGCUAUCAGCCCUCUGCAAUUUUAAGACCAAGACUCUGACUUCUGCCAGGUGCAAAACCCAUGGAGAGAAAUACUCUAUAGAUGAAGAAAGACUUGAGUUAGACCCUGAAGAGUAAGCAGAAUUUUCAUAUCUGUGAAUAGAACCCACGGCCUCUGAGACAGAGCAACCCCUGAUAAAGGAGACCAAAACAGAAGCACCCUGGGCAGGAUGUCUCAGGGAUGCUCAAAUUGUUGGGAAAGUUGGGGCAUGUGAAGGGGAAAAACAGGCAGGAAGAUAGAAAAGAUCGUCUCCCUUGGCUGAGAAGUUUGGACUCUAGUAUGUAGGCAAUAGAAACUCAUCAAAGGUUUCUAUGCAGAGCAGUGACAGGAUAAAGCAGGACUUUAUGAAAACUGAUCUUUCAGGAAAAGCUGGGAGGGACUGAAAUAGGAUGGAAACUGCAGGUAGAAAGACCACUCUCAAAGCUAUUAGAACAAUGCAGGCAAAAGACUGAACCAUGACCUUGGGCUCAGCUAUGUAAGUCAAGACUAGGUAUUGGACCACUGUUAUUUUCUAAUGUCAAAUCAAUGACUUUAGAUUGGAGGGAAUUUAGGAAUUGUUUUGCCAAAAAUUCACAAACCUGUGGCAAAAUCAGACUGGUGGUAAAGUGCACGUGUGUGUGUGUGUGUGUGUGUGUGUGUGUGUGUGUAUAAACAUGUAUACAAAUAUAUAUAUAAUUUUUUUAGUUUUCUGAAUUAGUUACCCAAGUUUUAAAAUUGGGAGAUUUCAGAUGAAAACCCCAGAUUUCUGGAUUUUUGAAAUUUGGCAUUGUCAUAUUGGGCUCAAAGCCUUCACCUGACCCUCACCCUGCAUAAUCCUCUUAAGCUUCAUUUAGUCCCAUUCCUGUCCUGCCAUUCAUACCCCAAUCUUAAAGAUGAAGACACUGAAACCCGAGGAAGGUAAGGAAUUUUCCCAAAGUUUCACUGACAGUUGUUGGCAAAGUCUGCAAGGAUGAUGUGACAUAAUGCCUGUCCCAUUCCUUACAGCAACUGGACAUAUAUGAUCUCUGUUCCUCAUAAGCCCUUAAGAGUAGACAUCAUUAUCCCCAUUUUGUAGAAGAGGAAACGGGUUGAAAGAUUAGGUAACUUCCCCAAAGCCACAUAGCUGGUCAGCGGUGGAGACAAUGUUCAAACCUAGAUCUUUCCAGGUCUUUCUUAUUACACAAUUAGUGUAAGAUUCUGAAACCGGACAAACCUGCUUAAAAUCGAGGCUGGUCAUUGACUGGCUGUGUGAUGGCAGGGAUGUUACUCAGCCUGUCUGAGCUUCACAUUUUUGGUUUUCAGACUGAAAUGAGCAUGUGUCUAACAGCAAUUAACACAUGUUAAUUAUUUUACAGUCACAGUUUGCUUUUUGAGAAAAAGCACUGUUAAUGGAUAUGAUCAGAUACUUUAUUUGUGUUGUUGGCUCUGAAAAUCUUUUUAAUCCCCAAAAAAUAAAAUCUAACCCCAAAGACAGUGUCAACCACUGAUACUAUUCUAAAGAUUGUGCCAUAAGAUCUAAACCUUUUUCCUAAAGAUUCCAAAAAAAUCAGAGGUAACAGUAGCAGUGUUGGCAGUAGAACUCUCACAUAAGAGACAGGGAUGGAGGCAUAUGCGCCCCAUGUCUCACUCCUCCUUCUACUUUCCUUGCCAGUGUUCCUGUUUGGCAAAACCAGCAACAUCUGGGCCCACACUACAAAAGGACCCAGAAAAUAUAGUUUAUAGCUUCCUAGCCCCUUUGAUACAGAAAAGCAUGCAAGAAAGGUGGACCAGUCAUCUGCAUCUGUCACAAAAUUGCCCUAAGAACCAGCUUGUCAGCCAUAGAAGAAAACUGUAUCUCAUUAUUUUAUGUUCACAUUUUGCUUUUUGAGAGAAAGCACUGUGAGUAGAUUUGAUCAGAUACUUUAUUUGUGUUGUUGGUUCUGAAAAUCUUUUUAAUCCCCAAAAAAUAAAAUCCAACCCCAAAGAUAGUGUCAACCACUGAUGGUAUUCUAAAGAUUGUGCCAUAAGAUCUGAACCUUCUUCCAAAAGAUUCCAAAAAAAUUGGGCUUAACAGUAGCAAUAUUGGAAGUAGCAUUUAGCAUCCUACUUUGAAAGGGACAGCGCUCAUUAGGAUAGAGACAUUCUAAAAUGUUUGCUUUUUAAUCAGCCCUAUUAGUCACAGACAUACCUCACUGGAGUUACCCUCCAGCUUCCUCCAAGGAAGAUAGCCAAACACCUGAUGGUGAGCAAAGCCAUUACCAUCUUGACUUCCUGCCAGAAUUCUUACCACCAUCAACCUUUCAAAACAGGUUGAUUAGUGGAUCUGGCAAACAAAAGCACUGUAAUUAUUCAAUACUUACACAGAAAUCCUCCCAUAAAACAAGUAUGCUUCAAAAAAUCAUAUUGUCUUAACAAUGACCAUGUUCCCCUUUGGUUGAAUUGGCCUCUUUUGUAAGAUUCUAAUUACCCAAAAUUAAGGGUUUUUGGGGGUUUUUGUUUGUUUUUGUUCUUUUGUUUUGUUUUACCAUGCUAGGACUGGGUAACUUUAUUCAAGACCUUGACAAAAUGAUCCCCAAAGUAAUAUAAAUGUAGACACUUUAAAAAGUCCAGAUGUGGAAGUGAGGAGCGCCUCUGCCCGGCCACCCAUCAUCUGGGAGGUGAGGAGCGCCUCUGCCCGGCUGCCCUGUCUGGGAAGUGAGGAGUGCCUCUGCCCGGCCACCCCAUCUGGGAAGUGAGGAGCACCUCUGCCCGGCCGCCCCCAUCUGGGAAGUGAGGAGCGCUUCUGCCCGGCCUCCCCGUCUGGGAAGUGAGGAGCGUCUCUGCCCAGCCGCCCAUCGUCUGGGAUGUGAGGAGCGCCUCUACCCGGCCGCCCCGUCUGGGAAGUGAGGAGCGUCUCUGCCCGGCCGCCCAUCGUCUGGGAGGUGAGGAGUGCCUCUGCCCGGCCACCCCGUCUGGGAAGUGAGGAGCACCUCUGCCUGGCCGCUGUGCAAUCUUCCAAGUGUGAAGUGACAGGCUUUCUGCAGGUGUACCCAACAGCUCCAAAGAGACAGCGACCAUUGAGAAGGGGCCAUGAUGACGAUGGUGGUUCUGUCAAAAAGAAAAGGGGGAAAUGUGGGGAAAAGAAAGAGAGAUCAGAUUGUUACUGUGUCUGUGUAGAAAGAAGUAGACAUAAGAGACUCCAUUUUGUUCUGUACUAAGAAAAAUUCUUCUGCCUUAGGAUGCUGUUAAUCUAUAACCUUACCCCCAACCCCGUGCUCUCUGAAACAUGUGCUGUGUCAACUCAGGGUUAAAUGGAUUAAGGGCAGUGCAAGAUGUGCUUUGUUAAACAGAUGCUUGAAGGCAGCAUGCUCGUUAAGAGUCAUCACCACUCCCUAAUCUCAAGUACCCAGGGACACAAACACUGCGGAAGGCCGCAGGGACCUCUGCCUAGGAAAACCAGAGACCUUUGUUCACAUGUUUAUCUGCUGACCUUCUCUCCACUAUUAUCCUAUGACCCUGCCACAUCCCCCUCUCCGAGAAACACCCAAGAAUGAUCAAUAAAUACUAAAAAAAAAAAAAAA
rnacentral:lncRNA from 1 species